GGGAGCUUGCUCCCUGAAGUCAGCGGCGGACGGGUGAGUAACACGUGGGCAACCUGCCUGUAAGACUGGGAUAACUUCGGGAAACCGGAGCUAAUACCGGAUAACACCGAGGACCUCAUGGUCCUUGGUUGAAAGAUGGCUUCGGCUAUCACUUACAGAUGGGCCCGCGGCGCAUUAGCUAGUUGGUGAGGUAACGGCUCACCAAGGCGACGAUGCGUAGCCGACCUGAGAGGGUGAUCGGCCACACUGGGACUGAGACACGGCCCAGACUCCUACGGGAGGCAGCAGUAGGGAAUCUUCCGCAAUGGACGAAAGUCUGACGGAGCAACGCCGCGUGAGCGAUGAAGGCCUUCGGGUCGUAAAGCUCUGUUGUUAGGGAAGAACAAGUACCGUUCGAAUAGGGCGGUACCUUGACGGUACCUAACCAGAAAGCCACGGCUAACUACGUGCCAGCAGCCGCGGUAAUACGUAGGUGGCAAGCGUUGUCCGGAAUUAUUGGGCGUAAAGCGCGCGCAGGCGGUUCCUUAAGUCUGAUGUGAAAGCCCACGGCUCAACCGUGGAGGGUCAUUGGAAACUGGGGAACUUGAGUGCAGAAGAGGAAAGCGGAAUUCCACGUGUAGCGGUGAAAUGCGUAGAGAUGUGGAGGAACACCAGUGGCGAAGGCGGCUUUCUGGUCUGUAACUGACGCUGAGGCGCG
rnacentral:rRNA from 1 species